rnacentral:rRNA from 1 species
GACGUAGGGGACGAGCGUUGUCCGGAUUCAUUGGGCGUAAAGAGCGUGUAGGCGGCCCGAUAAGUCCGCCGUGAAAGCCCAGGGCUCAACCCUGGGAUGCCGGUGGAUACUGUCGGGCUAGAAUCCGGAAGAGGCGAGUGGAAUUCCUGGUGUAGCGGUGAAAUGCGCAGAUAUCAGGAGGAACACCGAUGGCGAAGGCAGCACUCUGGGACGUGACUGACGCUGAGACGCGAAAGCGUGGGGAGCAAACAGG